CUUGCUUAAUUAUUUAUUUUUAAAUAAUAUUAUAUGUAUUUGUAUUAAUUUAAUAAUCUAAAUGAUUUGUUAAUAAUUUAUUUUGCAGUAAUAAAUUUUAUAUAUUAAUGGAAGUUUGAUUUAGUUAUUAUAAAUAAGUAUUGAUUAAAUAUGUGCCAGCAGUCGCGGUUAGACAUAAAAUACAAGUAAAUAUUAUUAGUUUAUUAGUUAUUAUGUAAUUUAUUAGUAAUUUAUAUUGAUAGUUUUUGGGUAAAAUUUAAAUUUUUGUUUAUUUUAUUAAGUUAAUUUUAGAAGCUAUGAAAUCUCUUUUUUAUAUAAACUAGGAUUAGAUACCCUAUUAUUUUAGAUUUAAAAUUUUAUACACUUAGGUAGUAUUAGAUAUGGGCUUGAAACCUAAAGAAUUUGGCGGUAUUUUAGUCUUUUUAGAGGAAUCUGUCCCUUAAUCGAUAAUCCACGUUGAACCUUACUUGAUUUAAUUAGUCUGUAUAUCGCCGUUUUUGAAGAUCUUUUUAGAGAAUUUUCUUAAUAUUAAACUUUAUAAGAGUUCAGGUCAAGGUGCAGUUUAUAAUCAAGUGGAGAUGGAUUACAUUAUAUUCAUUAAAACGGAUUAAAUUUUGUAAUUUUAAUUUAUGAAGGUGGAUUUAAUAGUAAUUAUUUAAAGAUUAUUAUUUUGACUUUAGCUCUAAAAUGUGUACACAUCGCCCGUCACUCUCAUUAUUAAGAUGAGAUAAGUCGUAACAAAGUAGCUGUACCGGAAGGUGUAGCUAGAAUGUUUU
rnacentral:ncRNA from 1 species